GCAGCAGUAGGACUGACUGGAGCCAUUGUACAGUGUCGGGAACACACCAGGACACUGAGAAUAGCGUCAUGUCAUAAAAACUCAGAGCAGAUGGACCCUGCUGUGAUGCACAAAGAAAUCAAUGGAGACUAUUCUUCCAAAUAAUCCUUAAAUAUUACUUAUCUCAACUGAGAUUUUGGUGAAAAUUUAGCUUUAGAGCUUUUAUUGACCUGCCAGUGACCUGAAGUUAAGAUUAUUCUUUUCUACUGAAUGAAGACAAACCACCUUAUACAAAUCAACCCAGAAGGCUGUAGAGGGAUGAAAUGGGAUUUUGUUGGCGCCAAGACCUGAUUGCUUUGCCAGUUACCCUCACCCCUGGCUCACGAGGAAAGUGUAUUGAGGAGAUUCUCGAGGAACCACAUGAGUUUUAAUAUCAUAAGCUUCUGUCCUGAAUUGAAAG
rnacentral:lncRNA from 1 species